GGAGGGGUGGCAGAGCGGCUGCAUGCACCGGUCCUGAACACCGGCAUGGGCGUGAGUCCAUCGGGGUUUGAACUCCCUCCCUCCG
rnacentral:tRNA from 1 species